rnacentral:rRNA from 1 species
CCUACGGGUUGCAGCAGUGGGGAAUAUUGCACAAUGGGCGCAAGCCUGAUGCAGCCAUGCUGCGUGUGUGAAGAAGGCCUUCGGGCUGUAAAGCACUUUCAGCGGGGAGGAAGGCGUUAAGGUUAAUAACCUUAGCGAUUGACGUUACCCGCAGAAGGAGCACCGGCUAACUCCGUGCCAGCAGCCGCGGUAACACGGAGGGUGCAAGCGUUAAUCGGAAUUACUGGGCGUAAAGCGCACGCAGGCGGUCUGUCAAGUCGGAUGUGAAAUCCCCGGGCUCAACCUGGGAACUGCAUUCGAAACUGGCAGGCUAGAGUCUUGUAGAGGGGGGUAGAAUUCCAGGUGUAGCGGUGAAAUGCGUAGAGAUCUGGAGGAAUACCGGUGGCGAAGGCGGCCCCCUGGACAAAGACUGACGCUCAGGUGCGAAAGCGUGGGAAGCAAACAGGAUUAGAUACCCGGGUAGUC